CGGGAUAUGGUGUAAGGGUUAGCAUGCCUGCUUUGGGAGCAGGUCGACGGGGUUCGAGUCCCUGUUUCCCGAC
rnacentral:tRNA from 1 species